UACAAAGUGGUCUACUCUGUCCGCUGC
rnacentral:sRNA from 1 species